UACGAAGGGGGCUAGCGUUGCUCGGAAUUACUGGGCGUAAAGGGCGCGUAGGCGGACAGUUUAGUCAGAGGUGAAAGCCCAGGGCUCAACCUUGGAAUUGCCUUUGAUACUGGCUGUCUUGAGUUCGGGAGAGGUGAGUGGAAUGCCGAGUGUAGAGGUGAAAUUCGUAGAUAUUCGGCGGAACACCAGUGGCGAAGGCGGCUCUCUGGGCCUUACCUGACGCUGAGGAGCGAAAGCGUGGGUAGCGAACAGG
rnacentral:rRNA from 1 species